AAUGAACGCUGGCGGCGUGCUUUACACAUGCAAGUCGAGCGAGGCGGGUAGCAAUACCCAGUUCGAGCGGCGAACGGGUGAGUAACGCGUGGAUGACCUGCCCUGAGGUCGGGGAAUAACCCGGGGAAACUCGGGCUAAUACCGGCAUAUGACCGUGAGGUCAAAGAGGGGUCGCAAGAUCUCUUGCCACAGGAGGGGUCCGCGUUUCGAUUAGCUAGUUGGUAGGGUAAUGGCCUACCAAGGCGACGAUCGAUAGCCGGCCUGAGAGGGUGAUCGGCCACACUGGAACUGAGACACGGUCCAGACUCCUACGGGAGGCAGCAGUGGGGAAUUUUGCGCAAUGGGCUAACG
rnacentral:rRNA from 1 species